CCAAGCUGUCAAAAAUACCUCUUUUUUUUUUUUUUUUGAUCAAAUUAUUCUUCAUUACUCCAACUAUUACAUAUCAAAAAUAUAUAUACCUCUAUAUAUAUGAAGAUUCUCAACACAGACCACAUGACAUAUUCACCUUCUCUCCAAAAGAACUUUCUAACCAAAAGAAAAGUCCUUCGAUCAGUCUCCUGUGUAUUAAAAUGUUGUUUGCUAUGUUUAUGUUUCUUUUCGCCGCAAUGGCUUUGCAGUCGCCAUCUUUGGUCGUGGCUUUGGACGUCCACCUCCUCCGCCAGCUAGCUGCAAAGCACAAUGUAACAACAAUAGUUGUGUUUGGAGAUUCUAGUGUUGAUCCAGGAAACAAUAAUUUUCUUAACACCGAUUUGAAAGGAAAUUUUCCACCUUAUGGUGGCAAUUUCGUGAACCAUAAAUCCACCGGAAGAUUAUGUGAUGGAUUGCUCGCACCUGAUUUUAUUGGUAUGUUUGACAUUAUAGUUUUUAUUAGUCUUAAAUUUUCUAUAAGUUCACUAAAGAUAUUGUUUUUAAUUAUGAAUUAUGUUCACAUCAAAACUUAUGUAUUUGGUAGCUUUACAUUAGUCCCUAGAUAUUAAUCUUAAGACUUUUAUAUGCUAAAUAAUUUUAUAGUUUAUUAUGAAACUAGUUUCACAUCAAACUUACAUUUUUGGUUUGCAUUUUCUUCAGCUGAGGCCAUGGGUUACCCACCUAUACCAGCUUUUCUUGAUCCAACCCUUACGCAAGUUGAUCUACCUCGCGGUGCAAGUUUUGCCUCGGCUGGUUCCGGUUAUGACGAUCUCACAGCUAAUAUAUCCGUAAGCCUGAACAUGUUUCCUAUUUUGUUACUUUUAACAAAAACAUAAAGUUCAAAUUUGCCUUAUAAUAUAAAGUCAAACUGUAAUCAAUUUGCUUUUCCCGGGUGGAACAGAACGUGUGGAGUUUCUCGACGCAAGCAACUUACUUUUUGCAUUACAAAAUUCACCUCAAUAAACUGGUCGGACCAUUAGAGAGCGCAAAAAUGAUAAAUAAUGCGAUAUUUCUUAUGAGUAUGGGAUCAAAUGACUUUCUUCAAAAUUACUUAGUCGAUUUUACUCGACAAAAGCAAUUCACUGUUGAACAAUACAUCGACUUUCUCUCCUCCCGAAUGCUUGACGACGCCAAGGUACGCAUACAUCUCCAUUAAACCUCUUAAAUGUAUCUAUGGAUAUAUUACUGUGUAUAUAUGAGAGCGAUAUUUGACGACAUGUUAAUGUUACAUGUAUUAAUUUAGAUACUCCCUCUAUUUCUAAAUGAUGCAUGUUUACGUAAUAUAUACAUUAAUAUAUUUAUAUAUUAAUACAUUUCGUCAAUAUUUAUAGUUUUAUACAUGUUAAUUCUUGGGCCUUUUGUAACAACUAUAUAUUACACUACGGCUUGAACUAUCAACUAUCUCAAAUAGAACGUCUCUGUGUAGCUGCUACGAUAAAUGCGUAUAGAAUUAUUGAAUUUAUUAAAUCGACAAAUAUCUUGUGUAUGUGUCAUGUGUAUGGGUCCUGAUAAUGAAUUACGUGAAAAGUCAUAAAUUACAACAAAAAUAGAGGGAGAAAGAGACACGGAGUCUAAGAAAAUAAUACCUCCAAGAAUCAUAUCCGGUUGUUGACAAAAUUUAAUUUCCAUAAAUAAUUUCUACCCUACAACGACAUGAAUUUCCGAUUUUCAUGUCCGGAUUUUUAACCUGUCCAAGGGUACAAUUCAUAUCCACAAUUAUAUAAAAUUAUUAUUUUUUGUUAGUUGUAAAUUUAUUUUUGCAUUUAUUUUCUUUUUUUUUUUUUUGAUCAAAUUAUUCUUCAUUACUCCAACUAUUACAUAUCAAAAAUAUAUAUACCUCUAUAUAUAUGAAGAUUCUCAACACAGACCACAUGACAUAUUCACCUUCUCUCCAAAAGAACUUUCUAACCAAAAGAAAAGUCCUUCGAUCAGUCUCCUGUGUAUUAAAAUGUUGUUUGCUAUGUUUAUGUUUCUUUUCGCCGCAAUGGCUUUGCAGUCGCCAUCUUUGGUCGUGGCUUUGGACGUCCACCUCCUCCGCCAGCUAGCUGCAAAGCACAAUGUAACAACAAUAGUUGUGUUUGGAGAUUCUAGUGUUGAUCCAGGAAACAAUAAUUUUCUUAACACCGAUUUGAAAGGAAAUUUUCCACCUUAUGGUGGCAAUUUCGUGAACCAUAAAUCCACCGGAAGAUUAUGUGAUGGAUUGCUCGCACCUGAUUUUAUUG
rnacentral:lncRNA from 1 species